rnacentral:rRNA from 1 species
GAUGAACGCUGGCGGCGUGCCUAAUACAUGCAAGUCGAGCGAACAGAUGAGGAGCUUGCUCCUCCGACGUUAGCGGCGGACGGGUGAGUAACACGUGGAUAACCUACCUAUAAGACUGGGAUAACUUCGGGAAACCGGAGCUAAUACCGGAUAAUAUAUUGAACCGCAUGGUUCAAUAGUGAAAGACGGUUUUGCUGUCACUUAUAGAUGGAUCCGCGCCGCAUUAGCUAGUUGGUAAGGUAACGGCUUACCAAGGCAACGAUGCGUAGCCGACCUGAGAGGGUGAUCGGCCACACUGGAACUGAGACACGGUCCAGACUCCUACGGGAGGCAGCAGUGGGGAAUCUUCCGCAAUGGGCGAAAGCCUGACGGAGCAACGCCGCGUGAGUGAUGAAGGUCUUCGGAUCGUAAAACUCUGUUAUUAGGGAAGAACAAAUGUGUAAGUAACUAUGCACGUCUUGACGGUACCUAAUCAGAAAGCCACGGCUAACUACGUG